GCUGGGCACAGUGUCGUGUGCCUGUAGUCCCAGCUACUCAGGAGCCUGAGGCUGGAGGAUCACUUGAGUCCAGUUCUGGGCUAUAGUGCGCUAUGCCAGUCGGGCGUCUGCACUAAGUUCAGCAUCAAUAUGGUGACCUCCCAGGAGUAGGGGACCACCACAUUGCCUAAGGAGGGAUGAACUGGCCCAGUCAGAAAUGGAGCAAGUCAAAACUCCUGUGCUGAUCAGUAGUGGGAUCGCGCCUGGGAAUAGCCUCUGUACUCCAGCCUGGGCAACAUAGCGAGACCCUAUGUCU
rnacentral:SRP_RNA from 1 species